rnacentral:lncRNA from 1 species
AGUUGCAGGUACAGGUAAAGGUUACUCGACGUGAGCGCGUUGAUUGUUCAUUUGGAGUUGCUUCUUCAUCUUCUUCUUCUUCUUCGAUCUAGGACGGGUUCCAGGCCGGCAGCCUGGGAUAGCAAGGAUGGACGUCGUUCUUCUUUUGUCGUUUGUUUUCGUCCGUAGUCGGACCCUGCUCUUACUCUUGAUGAUUUUGUAAUGUACUGAUGUGACUCUGAUGUAGCUUGUGGCGAGUGUAAGCCAACUCUAUUUAUAUAUCUCUCCUUUUUCAAUACAUGUAUUUGUAACGAUAUCCAUUCUUGCGACACGACGAGAUGCGCUUCUAUCCCUGACGAGGCCCUCGUGCCAAAUUGAGGAUAGGGUCGCAUCUUGGGCGUGACAAGUUGGUAUCAGAGCAAGGACCGACCUAGGAGCCCCCUUGAUUGGUCGAACUUGGCGAGUCGAGUCUAGUAAAAAACUAUUUGAGUCUAGUUAUAUAUCGGAGAGUAGGAUUCUUUUUUCUCCUCUUCUAUGCUCUAGUGAGGAAUCUCGACGUAAUAUUUACUCUACUCCUCUUCCCACUCAAAAAAAAUUUAGGAUCACGCGGAUAUUUUUGGAAUCUAUAUGAUGCCGAUGUGACGGAGUUCUGUCUUGGUGCCUCCUGUCUGACUUGAUCUUCUUCUGGGGAGUUGAGCUCCAGGGGAUUCUUGAGCACAUCGUUAUCAUUCAGAUUUCUUGGUAUCCUAGUACGAAGGAUGUUCGUAAUUGCUUCAAUACUAGUAGUGGCGAGAUAACCCCGAUGUCCCCAGUACUGGUGCAGAUUGUUCGGGAGUAUUGUCAUACUUUGUAUCGUUGUGAUCACGAGGGUCUGUUGUAGAUGAAGGUCCGAGAUUCUGGUCGUGUGUUGAAGGAUGUGAUACAAGUGACGGUUUAGUAUAGGAGUUGUGUGAUAUUACUCCUUGUAUCCGUGUACCAGAUUGCAUGACCAGAUAUUUCGGGAAUUCAUAGGUGGGAAUUCUAGUAGUUACUUAUAGGACAAUCUUCCAACAAAUGCAUGAUGUUAGGUUGGGGUUCGACAUCUAGUGGAUUCGUUUGUUCACGGUCGACUUACAGCGGUACACGUUGUGUCUUAAAGAGUCCUUGUAGCUUGCUACGACUCGGGGACGCAUCGUAUGUCAGGUGCACUGCCUUGCACUUGGUGGCUACUGUAAAUCGUGCCCGUGCGAUCCUGUCCACGAAAAUAUCGAACGGAAAUCUUUCUCAUGAGUUUGUUCUGGAUAAUUGCAAGCCGCAUCCUUGUUUUGUUGAAUGUGGUAAUUCAGUUGCUUCGAUGUCAAGUGGUGAAUUCAGAUCUUUCCUAAGUGGUGUUCUCAUAUUUUUUUUAUGUGAAUGCUAAUCCUUUUGCUCAAUCAAUCGUCUUAUCAAUUUUUGUCAACCGGGGUCAUCGUAUCAAUUCCAUUCAACCGGUGUGUUUUUCUCCAAGGGGAUUCAAUCCUCUCCAAUUUUGUCAAGAGCAUUCUCUUAUUCCAUCCGGAGUUCAUCUCAUCUGUCCCAUGUUGUCUUUGUUUUUCCCCGCCCUCCCACCCUUUUCUUCAGUGAUUCAAUUUUCAUCCAAGGGUUUUCUUUCUUGUGCUUCCGCUAUCUUUUCUUCCGUGUCCUAUCCGGUGAUUCAUUGUGAAGAUUCUCAGGAGAUUCGUGUCAUAUUUGUUCAUUCUUGUCAUCCUUACCCGUGAAUUUAAUUCAGUUCUCCGUGUCAUCAUAUCCUUUUCAUCCGUGUAAUUCUUUCCUAGGUUGGAAAUUUUUAUCACUCUAUCUACUUGUUAUCGUUUCUCUCUAUUCUAUCCGGAGCGUUGAAGUCAUCUCAGAAUUCUUGUUCUCAAUUCUUUUAGUUAUUUCGAGGUUCUCAACCUCAUCUAGUUCUCUUCAUACCGGUGCAAUAUCUCUCGUUCUAGCAAUCUUUUCUAACGGUGAUUUUCUUUGAGUGGGCCCAUAACCCACAGGUUCUUCCCAGGAUCUUACUCGGCUCUUUAAUCUUUUCUGAAGAUUCUUAAUUCUUUUCAACUAUGACGUAAGUAUGAAUUUCAUCAGUCAUAUCCCUUCUUCAAGUUCUAUUUGAAUUAACUCUCUUAUUUGGCUCAACCUUUCAUUAUUCUUUAUUCCGGAGUGUCUCAGUUAUUUGUGGGUUGUUUCUCGUCAUCAUUCUCAAUCUUGCUCCAUUCUUGUGAAGAUUAUCAUCUCAGCUUCGUGUUUUCCUCUCAAUUGUUUCUAUCGUGAGUAAUCCCUUUCGUGCUAUCCGGUGCAGUUCUGAGUUGUUUUUAUUUCUCGAUCCUCCGAAGGCCAUCAUUUAAGAAGACUUUUUCGUUCUCAGCUUUCAGCUUUCAUCCUCAAUUCUUCUCCGUUGUUGUCUCUUCAUUCGUCUCUCGAUUAUCCGGUGCUUUGUUCAAGUUUUCUCUCAGGUGGCUCAUGAGCUCUUCAUUUUCAUGUAUCUUCAUUAAUUCGUGGUGUUCCCAUUCAAUUGUGAAUUCUUACCGGUGCUUCCUUCAAUUUUGCUUCAAGUGGUGCUUAGCUCUCUGUCUCUUCAAGAUUCAUUUCUAGUAGAAUAAGUGAUAUGCUAAAUCCGCUGCUUGUCAUCAAUUAAACCUGAUGAAGGAUAAGCAUAACAUAAUUCUCAUUCUUGUUCAUAAGUAAUCUGAAUCCUUCUUUCGGAGUGGCUCAUGGUUUCAAUUCUUUUCUCGUGUGCUAUCUUUGUUUUCCGGAGUUCCAAGUUCUUUUAAGUAUCUCUUUGUGAAGCUUCAUCUAAAUCUUGGCAAGGUCAUAACCUUAUUCUUUUCUACAUUCAUAUCUCUGCAUCGUUCAUUGGUAUACGGAGGUCCUUCUUCGUGGUUCAUCAAGGAUGUGAUUCAUUCUCUUGCGUUCUUCAAGAUUCUGUUGGAAUACCUCAAGUAUUCUUUCUCUUCCAUUUUCGGUGCUUUUGUUAUUCCGUUAUCCUUGGAGGUGGUAUUAUAGCCUUCUUGUUAGUGUAGGAGCCUCGAAGAGUUUUCCUUUCAAGAAUGAGAUAAUUAGAUCCAUCAAUUCCUUGAUCAUGAGAUAUCUGCAACCAUGAUUUCUUCAUUGAGCUAUCUUCGUUUGGAUUUCACCUAAAGCUUUUCCUAUGGAUUGUGCUAUCAUGAUGCUUGUCAUUAAUCCCAGUUCUCAAUGUAUCCUCUCGGUGUAAGAAGUUUUCAUAUCCUUUGCUUUCAUCUGUCCUUGUUCCUUUUUAGUGGUUGGUGGUCACCUCAUGUUUGUUGAGGUGAUUUUCAUAAGCCCACUACUAUAUUGUCCUUUUCGUUGUUGGUUUUCCAACUACUCCGUCUAUCCUUCUAUCUGGAGGCUCUUAAAUUCUAUUGUGAUGAUAAUUGGCAUUCUUUUCUUCAUUCUCUUCUUCUGCUUGAGCUAGUUCAUAUUCUAUUGUUCCGGAGGCAUUGUGAUGUUGCUCUUUUGGGUCAAUUAUGUUGUUCUACCAAGAUCAUGGUGUUCCCUUGUUAUAUUUAGUUGUUUGUUAUGAAUAUUGUCUAUUUCUUCCACCUUUUCGAAUAUUUUGUCCCAUUUUCCUACCGAAGUGCUGCCGAAAUUUUCCGUGAAUUCUGGCUUCUCUCUCAUAUCAGUCCUCAUCUAUUUGCAACCUUCAAGGAUUGUUGGUUUCACUCGUUUGUCAAAGAAGCGACUAAGUUUUUACCUCUUGUUCUUUCUCAUCCUCUUCCCCUUUCAUUCCUGGAUCUCGGGGCGAGAUCCUCUUGUAGUGUAGGAGUGUUGUGACAGCCCGAGACCAACGUUCCAGAAGAUUCCCCUCUCUUUCCGUUUUCGUCAUGUCAUUUAUUUUAUUUGUCGCAUCAUCAUCGCAUCAUGCGCAUCAUCUGCAUUGCAUCGGCAUCUCCGUUGCCGCCCGUUUUCAAAACUUGCAUUCGUUAGGAGUUGCCGGUUCUCGUCGUCGUCCGUUCUGAGUCCGACCGCACACGCACGCGCCCGCGGCACCGUCGAAACCCUGUUUUAAAAAGCGCGUUUAAAACUCUCUCUAAUCGAGGUGAAACUUGGCACGCGGUCGCAAUUAGUUAUAGCGAGGCCGCCCGUCGAAUUUCGUCAUGAUCGGAGACCGUCUGGUACCCGAACGGUCGCCCGUAGCGGCACCGUAUUCGGUAUAUCGUCGGACGUCUGUCGGUGUUUUUAAAACCGUGCCGCGCCGCCCGUUUUCCCCCUCGUCUACGGUAAACCCCUCUACACGGCCGCGUACCCUUACCCGUGUUCGGAAUCGUCCGAAUCCGACCCCGCGGUUGGAUCCGGAUCGCAAUUUUGGUUAACCGAGCCCCCGUUCGCCUAUAUAUAGACCCCCUCCUAAAAAAUUAGGCAGCCAGCCCCCCUCUGCCUCGAAAACCGUGCCCAACCCCUAAUCCCCUCUCUCUCUCCUCUCAGAUCUGAUCCCCCUCUCCUCAGAUCUCGACCGUCGGAUCGAAGAUCCAACGGCCGACGCCCCUCCUGCCUCCUCCCACAGCUCUCCCNCGGCCCAGCCUCCCCAGCAGCUCGAGGCCGGCCCAGUUCGCCUCUCCAGGCCGGUCCAAUUCGGCCUGAGGUGAGCCCUCUCACCAGCGCCUUGUGCGUGAUUUAGCUAUUUUGCGCCUGUUCGGCCCAUUAGGCAUUUUAGGUUGUUUUCGGAAUUGUUUAUACUCCGGAAAAUAGGUAUAUCUUAGAACGUCCGUAGUUUCUAAACCGUAGAUCGGAACGACGCGUGUUAUAUAUCGUUUUGGGGUAGCUUCGCGAGUAGAAUACGUUUAUCCAACAUGCAUAAUUGUUUAACGCUGUUUAGGUUGCCUAAUGCUUUGUUUUGCGUGCUGUUACAAUAGGUUCCGAUCCGUAGUUAUUUUUCACGCGUGUCCGGACUGCCCGUAUGCCAUAGAUUUAAUGUCCAUGUUUUAGGGACCAUAUUUCUACGUAUUUUAGAGCGGCCACUCGUAUUUUUCCGUGUAGGGUUUUGCCGGUAGUUUAUUUUCCCAUUUAGAGGUAUUUUCUCGCAUUAUUGUGUGUCUUUAUUUUGUGUUGCAAACCCCACAUAUUAUAUAUGUUUUCGGGGUAGAAAAAUCCCAGGGAUUUUUCUGUGCAAUUAGUUUUAGCUUUUGAGGAAGUUAGUUCGCGAGAUAUUUUGCCGUGAUGCCCUUUUGUUUAAUUCGUAGAUUUUAUUCCGUGCCUCGUUUGAAUUAGUUGUCAACUAGAGAGUUGAUCUCGGAUGUUUUGUAUAGCCUCUGGUAUUUUUGGUUGCAAUAGAAAUGCAUGUUUAGGUGUUGUUUGACGGCCCUCAAGUUGCUUGAAUAGUGCUGUUUUAGAGGAGCUGAAAUAUUUCUAAGUCUGAGAUCUGUUAUAUUUUGUUGCUGUCUUGUCUUGCUUGCAUCUUGUGAUAUGUAGCUCUUUUGGGGUUGGUCCAAUGGAGUUAUUUGUACCCCUUAUGUUUCUUUAGCAUGCUGUGAAGUUUCAUGCCAUUUGGAUUCCUGUAGCUAUAGGUUUUUCUGCUGUCAAUAUUGCUUCAGGCUGAAAAGUGCACUUUCAGAAGGUGUUAUUUUCACUAAGUCUGAAAUAGUGCGUGAGAUGCCAUUUUGUGUCUUCUUUUCCUAGUGCUCCGUGCUGCCAUGCUAGAUGUUGUUAGUUGAUUGUAGUUGUGCUUUUUGCCCUCUUUCAUGCCAUGCCUUGCUUGAGUUUAUCGGAGUUGUGUAGCCGUAGUUGUGGGGCGUAGAAAGUGCUAUGUGGCUGUUUUUGGCAGAUUGUAGUGUUUUCUCGUUUUGCUCGUAGUUUUCGAACCGUAGCUCCGUUUUGAUCGUGUCCUACAUGAAACUUGCUUAGAAUCUUGUGUAGUUUCAUUUUCUCUUGCUGUUUGUAUGUGUUGAAGUGCUCGUAGCUGCCGUUGCACACAUUUGGCAUUCAUGUCAUCAUAUCUUGCGGUGCUUGUAACUUUUGAUCCGUAGCUCCGUUGGAGAUGUUCUUUACGUGUAGGUUGCUUGCCAUGACGUGUAGAAUCACGUGAACCUAUUUAUUUUUCUGUUUAACAACUAAUUAAAUGCAUUAGUUCAAAUCUGGACAGAAUUAUAAAUUAACAUAUGAGGUCGUCUCGGAGAUGCUAUAUGUCAUUUCCGACCUCAUUUAAAAUGUCUAGAUAGGUAGAUUAAUUUCCGCUUCACCUCUUGCAUGUUUGACAACCCUAAUAUUGCCGAGUAGAUAACCGGGAGUGAACUAAAUAAUUAACGUGGAGUUUCGUCAAUAUGCAACUCGUGCAUAUUGAACUUCACUUAAGGUGUAGUGUUUGAUUGUGUGAUUUGUCAUGCCGUGAAUUGCGUGUAUUCAGUAGCUCAUGCAUCAUAUGUGUUGUGCAUCGUGUGGUGAAUAUCGUGUGUUGAUGCUUGUUUCCGGUUUUCCCGUCUCGAUAGAGUUCCGCAAUCGUGUCAGAUGUGAGGACCCGUUCGACUACGUCGGUUCGUCUGCUUCGCGGAGUCAUUCUUCUUCCAAGCGGGAUCUCAGGCAAGAUGAUCAUUUCCCCAGAUACCAUUACUAUCAUUGCCAUGCUAGUUUUACCGUUGCUAUCGUUUACGUCUCGUUGCCUACCACCUGUUAAAUAUCAGCCUCCCUACAAUGCCAUGAAACCAUCAACCUGUUCACCCUAGCAAACCACUGAUUGGCUAUGUUACUGCUUGCUUAACCCUGUUGAUAGCGUUGCUAGUUGCAGGUGCAUUGCUUCCAUGCAAAGCAUUGGUUCCUUGUUAUAUCACCAUAUUUUAUGCUUUCUAUUUUAAUGCACCUAUAUACCUGGUAAAAGGUGGAAGGCUCGGCCUUUCUAGCCUGGUGUUUUGUUCCACCUUUGCCCCCUUAGAUUCGACUACCGGUGUUAUGUUCCAUAAAUGAGCGCUCCUAACACGAUCGGGGUUGUUAUGGGGACCCCCUUGAUAAUUCGUUUUAGAUUAAAGCUGGUCUGGCAAGGCCCAACUUUGGUACUACAUUUGCCUAAACACCUAAUAAAAUUGCAUAGGGACUUUCCGGACCCCGAGGAUAAUUUAAUCAACCCCCGGGCCAGUGCUCCUCAUGAGUGUUGGUCCCACCUGAGCGAUGUCCGGCGCCCCUCCGGUCACCCAGAGGUUUAGCGAUCCCGACGUCUAGCUCAUCCGCCGUGUCCUGAGAACGAGGUACGCGACUCCUAUCGGGAUCGUUGACACGUCGGGCGGCCUUGCUGGAUUUGUUUUACCUUUGACGAGAUAUCUUGUGCAUCGGGAUUCCGGUGAUGCUUUGGGUAAUCUCAGAGUUGAGGUUUUCCACUAGGGAAUCCGACGAGAUCGCGAGCUUCGUGAUUGAGGAUUUCUAUGCGGCUUGUGGUAAUUUGUGAUGGACUAGUUGGAGCACCCCUGCAGGGUUAAAUCUUUCGGAAAGCCGUGUCCGCGGUUAUGUGGCAACGUGGAAGCUUUGUUUAACACUGGUUCUAGAUAACUUGAAGUUAAUUAAAUAAAAUAUGCCAACUGUUGCGUAACCGUGACUGUCUCUUUCGUGAGUUCCUUCUCCGAUCGAGGACACGGUGGGGUUAUGUCUGACGCAGGUAGGUGUUCAGGAUCAUUCAUUUGAUCAUCUGUAGUGACGUCCGUUAUGCGUAGAUCACCCCCCUCUUAUUUCCUGUACUCGUAAGUUAGCCACCAAAUAUGUGCUUAGUCGCUGCUGCAACCUCACUACUUAACCAUGCCUCACCUAACAAGCUUUGCUAGUCUUGAUACCUUUGGAAAUGAGAUUGCUGAGUCCCCUGUGGCUCACAGAUUACUACAACACCAGUUGCAGGUACAGGUAAAGGUUACUCGACGUGAGCGCGUUGAUUGUUCAUUUGGAGUUGCUUCUUCAUCUUCUUCUUCUUCUUCGAUCUAGGACGGGUUCCAGGCCGGCAGCCUGGGAUAGCAAGGAUGGACGUCGUUCUUCUUUUGUCGUUUGUUUUCGUCCGUAGUCGGACCCUGCUCUUACUCUUCAUGAUUUUGUAAUGUAC